AUGCUUCUGUGGAUUCCUCUCUUUUUCCUUUCUAAGCUAAGAAAGCAAGAUGACCAACCACAGCAGAGAAAACGCUCUUGUAUUACAGCUGUGGAGAGUAGAAGAGUCUCAAAAAGCCUGAUGCCCUCAAGGAUCCAAGACUACUGCUUUCACAAGUGUUAAUUUAUGCAGGGACUCUUCAGAUUGCAUGCUCAUCAGAUAGGCACAGUG
rnacentral:lncRNA from 1 species